AACGACUCUCGGCAACGGAUAUCUCGGCUCACGCAUCGAUGAAGAACGUAGCAAAAUGCGAUACUUGGUGUGAAUUGCAGAAUCCCGUGAACCAUCGAGUUUUUGAACGCAAGUUGCGCCCGAAGCCAUUCGGCCGAGGGCACGUCUGCCUGGGUGUCACGCAU
rnacentral:rRNA from 1 species